rnacentral:misc_RNA from 1 species
AAAGUCGUAACAAGGUUUCCGUAGGUGAACCUGCGGAAGGAUCAUCACAGAGAAAAAGGGGGUUAGUAGUGUAGAGUAUAUUAUUAGCCCCCACCAAUCAUGUGUGCACCGUGUUUCAGUGAUUAUGCGUGUGUGUGUGUGUGUUGGCAAGGUUCACACAUUUUUGUGUCUUGCCGACCGCGCGCGCGCAUGCCUCUUACUAUUAUCUUGAUGCAAUCUUGGUACAACACACAUGUUAGUAUAAUAUAUACACUAUUACAACUUUUAACAAUGGAUCUCUUGGCUCUC